GAUGAACGCUGGCGGCGUGCCUAAUACAUGCAAGUCGAGCGAACAGACGAGGAGCUUGCUCCUCUGACGUUAGCGGCGGACGGGUGAGUAACACGUGGAUAACCUACCUAUAAGACUGGGAUAACUUCGGGAAACCGGAGCUAAUACCGGAUAAUAUAUUGAACCGCAUGGUUCAAUAGUGAAAGACGGUUUUGCUGUCACUUAUAGAUGGAUCCGCGCCGCAUUAGCUAGUUGGUAAGGUAACGGCUUACCAAGGCAACGAUGCGUAGCCGACCUGAGAGGGUGAUCGGCCACACUGGAACUGAGACACGGACCAGACUCCUACGGGAGGCAGCAGUAGGGAAUCUUCCGCAAUGGGCGAAAGCCUUACGGAGCAACGCCGCGUGAGUGAUGAAGGUCUUCGGAUCGUAAAACUCUGUUAUUAGGGAAGAACAAAUGUGUAAGUAACUAUGCACGUCUUGACGGUACCUAAUCAGAAAGCCACGGCUAACUACGUG
rnacentral:rRNA from 1 species